rfam:Felis catus isolate Cinnamon breed Abyssinian chromosome B1, whole genome shotgun sequence.
GCCUGGGUGGCUCAGUCGGUUGAGCAUCUGACUUCAGCUCAGGUCACGAUCUCGCGGUCCGUGAGUUCGAGCCCCGCGUCGGGCU